rnacentral:misc_RNA from 1 species
GAUGAAGAACGUAGCAAAAUGCGAUACUUGGUGUGAAUUGCAGAAUCCCGUGAACCAUCGAGUUUUUGAACGCAAGUUGCGCCCGAAGCCUUUUGGCCGAGGGCACGUCUGCCUGGGCGUCACGCAUCGCGUCGCCCCCCACAAUUCUCCGUAAAGGGAACAUGUGUUUUAGGGGCGGAUAUUGGUCUCCCGUGCUCAUGGCGUGGUUGGCCGAAAUAGGAGUCCUUUCGAUGGACGCACGAACUAGUGGUGGUCGUAAAAACCCUCGUCUUUUGUUUCGUGCUGUUGCUAGCAAGGUAAACUCUUUAAAAACCCCAAUGUGUCGUCUCUUGACGACGCUUCGACCGCGACCCCAGGUCAGGCGGGACUACCCGCUGAGUUUAAGCAUAUCAAUAAGCGGAGGA